UCACCUAUCAAAUUAUUUUUGAUGAUAAAGAUUUUUAAUCGAUAAUCGAAAUCGUUGAAAUUGAUCUAGAAUAUUUAAAUUAUUUAGGAAUUAAAUUUUAUAAAUUUUAAAAUUUAUUUACAUAGUGAUUAAAAGAUUAUAAAAUUGACAAUUUUUAACGUCCUAUAUAAGUCAUUUACUUGUUAAUGGUGUAGAGUAAUUGAAACUGGUUGAAUUUUUGAUAGAAAAAUUUUUUAUACUAUUUAGAUAAUAUUUAAUAACUCUGAUCAUAAAUUGAGAAAGUCUAACCUCUGUUUUCAGAAGGUCAUUUAUUUUUGACCGUUUAUUUUUCGACUUUUCGAUAGACUUGAAAAUGAUUUUUAAAAAUUACAAAAUUCAGUUUCUAAAUAUUUCUAAUAGUGUAGAUUAAUUUUAUUGAUGCCGAUUAUCAAUUUGAAGUUCCGAUCAUCUAAAAUGACUUGAUAUAUAGGAUAAAAACUUCUAUCCUCUCUUAAGGGAAUAAUAGCUAGCGGAACUCUCUCUCUCUCUCUCUCUCUCUCUCUCUCUCUCUCUCUCUCUAUAUAUAUAUAUAUAUAUAUAUAUAUAUAUAU
rnacentral:lncRNA from 1 species